CUUUCUCAGUUUACAUUUUUUGUCUCUUUUGAUUUAAUUAAAAAAAAAAAAAACAGCCAGAGCAU
rnacentral:ribozyme from 1 species